GCUUACGGCCAUACCGGCCUGAAUACGCCCGAUCUCGUCUGAUCUCGGAAGCUAAGCAGGGUCGGGCCUGGUUAGUACUUGGAUGGGCGACCGCCUGGGAAUACCAGGUGCUGUAAGCU
ensembl:rRNA 5S_rRNA 5S ribosomal RNA